rnacentral:rRNA from 1 species
CAGUCGCCGCGGUAAUACAGAGGGUGCGAGCGUUAAUCGGAUUUACUGGGCGUAAAGCGUGUGUAGGCGGCUUCUUAAGUCGGAUGUGAAAUCCCUGAGCUUAACUUAGGAAUUGCAUUCGAUACUGGGAAGCUAGAGUAUGGGAGAGGAUGGUAGAAUUCCAGGUGUAGCGGUGAAAUGCGUAGAGAUCUGGAGGAAUACCGAUGGCGAAGGCAGCCAUCUGGCCUAAUACUGACGCUGAGGUACGAAAGCAUGGGGAGCAAACAGGAUUAGAUACCCCCGUAGUCCCUGUCUCUUAUAA